GAUGAACGCUGGCGGCGUGCCUAAUACAUGCAAGUCGAGCGAACAGACGAGGAGCUUGCUCCUCUGACGUUAGCGGCGGACGGGUGAGUAACACGUGGAUAACCUACCUAUAAGACUGGGAUAACUUCGGGAAACCGGAGCUAAUACCGGAUAAUAUAUUGAACCGCAUGGUUCAAUAGUGAAAGACGGUUUUGCUGUCACUUAUAGAUGGAUCCGCGCCGCAUUAGCUAGUUGGUAAGGUAACGGCUUACCAAGGCAACGAUGCGAAGCCGACCUGAGAGGGGGAUCGGCCACACUGGAACUGAGACACGGUCCAGACUCCUACGGGAGGCAGCAGUAGGGAAUCUUCCGCAAUGGGCGAAAGCCUGACGGAGCAACGCCGCGUGAGUGAUGAAGGUCUUCGGAUCGUAAAACUCUGUUAUUAGGGAAGAACAAAUGUGUAAGUAGCUAUGCACGUCUUGACGGUACCUAAUCAGAAAGCCACGGCUAACUACGUG
rnacentral:rRNA from 1 species